rnacentral:rRNA from 1 species
CAGUAGCCGCGGGAAAACGUAGGUGGCAAGCGUUGUCCGGAAUUAUUGGGCGUAAAGGGCUCGCAGGCGGUUUCUUAAGUCUGAUGUGAAAGCCCCCGGCUCAACCGGGGAGGGUCAUUGGAAACUGGGAAACUUGAGUGCAGAAGAGGAGAGUGGAAUUCCACGUGUAGCGGUGAAAUGCGUAGAGAUGUGGAGGAACACCAGUGGCGAAGGCGACUCUCUGGUCUGUAACUGACGCUGAGGAGCGAAAGCGUGGGGAGCGAACAGGAUUAGAUACCCCAGUAGUCCCUGUCUCUUAUAC